rnacentral:tRNA from 1 species
GAGGUGUAUUUACAUAUNGAUCUGCUAAAUCUAAUAACUGAAGAUAAAANCCUCAGACCUCUUA